AAACACGUGAUUUUCAAGUUAAAUGGGGGAUUUCCGAAGAGAAAACGCGUGAUUUUCGCUUAAAUGGGGUAUUUGAGAAGAGAAAAUUCGUGAUCUUCACUUAAAUGGGGGACUUGCAAAGAGAAAACGCUUGAUUUUCACUUAAAUUGACGAUUCUCAAAGAGAAAACGCGAGAUUUUCACUUAAAUGGGGGAUUUGCGAAGGGAAAACGUGUGAUUUCUGGUUAAAUGUGGGAUUUCUGAAGAGAAAACUCGUGGUUUUUUGGGUUAAUUGGGGGAUUUGCGAAGAGAAAAUGCGUGAUUUUUGCUUAAAUGGGGGAUUUGAGAAAACACAUGAUUUUCGGGUUAAAUGGGGGAUUCUCGAAGAGAAAACUCGUGGUUUUUUGUGUUAAUUGGGGGAUUUGCGAAGAGAAAACGCGUGAUUUUCGCUUAAAUGAGGGAUUUGAGAAAGC
rnacentral:lncRNA from 7 species